CCUCCGAUGUCUGCCGCCUGCUGUGACUCACAUAUAGGGAGAACAGCCAGGGGGGCUGUGAGUUUGAGACUGUAGUUAUUGUUUGUGAAGAACUGCCCAGAAGAGAUCGGCGGGAGCAAGCUGGGAAGCGUGUGGCCCAGUGCAGGCAGAAGUUUUAUGCUGGGAGGUGUGUGGCUCCACUGCUGGGGUAACCUCCAUCACCUCAAACACCAACUGCACAUCUACAAGAUAAAAACAAGGACACUAAGAGACAUGUUUGAUCCACAUGAAGACACAAACUGGAUCAUUAAGAAGGGGAGCAGAUCUGCUGGAGUCCACACUGCAAUGUUUCACUUCAACCACAAGAGGGCACAACAGGCUUUCUGACAGGCAACUAAAUACUUACCAUUGUUGACUUUAUAACACAAUCUAAUGAUUUAGAAGCACGUUUAAGGACAUUUAUAUAAAGAGUAAAUAAACUGAGUCUGCAGGCUGGUAUCCAGAGCCUGAGGUGUUUUGGCUGGACGGUGAGGGAAACCUCCUCUCUGCUGGACCUACAGAGACAGUCAGAGGUCCUGAUGACCUCUAUACUGUCAGCAGCAGAGUGACUGUGGAGAAGAGACACAGCAACAGCUUCACCUGUAGACUCCAGACCAGAGAGAGUCACAUGUUGCACCAUGCUGUUCUGGGAUUUAUAAUUUCAGUUUGUCUUCUCAGUCAUGUCGAGGUAUGUAAGAAGUGUCUUGGCUCCAGGA